rnacentral:lncRNA from 1 species
CAGGCCUUACUCAUGCUCUGGCAGUGCCAGGACCUCUCUCGGAGGCGGGGCCAACAGUGGCUUCCCGGCCCUGCGCCAGGCCCAGGCCUGCACCCUAAGCACAGCUCCUGGAUCCAGGAACUGCCUCUUCUUACGGCCGGGAGAGGGCGGCCGGAGAGGGCGAGAGCCCCGCCCAGGGUCACCCACCAAGCCAAGGAACCAGUGGGCAGCAUAAGGAGCAGCCAGAACUGGGCGCCAAGCAGCCUGGGUUCGAACCCCCGCGCUUCCCGGUCGCUAGCAGCAAGACCUCGGGAAAGUUACCCAACCACCGCGAGCCUCAGUUUUCCUACCCCAACCCAUAUCAUUUCCCCAAGGACCCGGUCCAGGCACUGGGAAGAGUGCACAGGUUGUGACCGCAGGUGGCAGAGUGCCAGUGCCACCACUCCAUGCUUGGCAGCCUUGGGGCAUGCUGGUCUUCUCUGAGCCUCUCAUCUGGACAUGGGCCGCCCCCCCACCAGGGGUUAGUGAGACUUGUUAGGCCCAUGUAACCCCUCAGUGCGUGUUUGGGGGCCUGACAGUGGCUCAGGAAAGGAUCCACCCUCUGGAACCCCCAGCCUGGCCUCAGAGGAGCUCCAUCGGGCAUUACCACCUCCCAGCUGGAUGACCUUGAGCAGUUUCGUUUCUCUGUUUGGUGAAGCCCUGAUGGGUGUGUCCCAGGCCCCGGCCCCGGCCCGCCGCCUGCCCGC